UCGGGAAUUUUGGGCAAUGGGCGAAAGCCUGACCCAGCAACGCCGCGUGAAGGAUGAAGUCUCUCGGGAUGUAAACUUCGUAAGAAUAGGAAGAAUAAAUGACGGUACUAUUUGUAAGGUCCGGCUAACUACGUGCCAGCAGCCGCGGUAAUACGUAGGGACCAAGCGUUGUUCGGAUUUACUGGGCGUAAAGGGCGCGUAGGCGGCGUGGUAAGUCACUUGUGAAAUCUCCGAGCUUAACUCGGAACGGUCAAGUGAUACUGCUGUGCUAGAGUACAGAAGGGGCAAUCGGAAUUCUUGGUGUAGCGGUGAAAUGCGUAGAUAUCAAGAGGAACACCAGUGGCGAAGGCGACUUGCUGGACUUAUGGUGACGCUGAGACGCGAAAGCGUGGGGAGCAAACAGGAUUAGAUACCCAUGUAGUCCCUGAGCGGGCUGGCAAGGCGCAU
rnacentral:rRNA from 1 species